GGUGAGUAACGCGUGAGUAACCUGCCUUCAAGAGGGGGAUAACAUUCUGAAAAGAAUGCUGAUACCGCAUGACAUAUCGGAACCACAUGGUUUUGAUAUCAAAGAUUUUAUCGCUUGAAGAUGGACUCGCGUCCGAUUAGUUAGUUGGUGAGGUAACGGCUCACCAAGACCGCGAUCGGUAGCCGGACUGAGAGGUUGAACGGCCACAUUGGGACUGAGACACGGCCCAGACUCCUACGGGAGGCAGCAUG
rnacentral:rRNA from 1 species